ACAAGGCUACAGAACUGCGCUCACUCUCCUCACACAUUCCAGCGCACUCACAUUAUUACUCUGAUGUAUCCUUGAGGAAUUUGUGGUGAGUUUCAUGUACCAAGACUGGGUUACAACUCCCCCACCCUUUUACUAGUGUCUGGAGAGUGUCCAGAUCUGCAGUUGAAGAAAACGGAACUUGGAGACAAUGGAGAAACAGUCACCCAAUGACUUCUCAGAAGGCACAAUGCAAGGCUUUGUUUUGCGUUAUAGUUUGGAAUCCUGGGGUGGACUUGAGAAGCAAUUUGUGAAUAAUUUCAUGUGAGAUGAAACUCAAGAUCAACAGUGUUUGCUAAUUGCUCCUCCUACCAUGGAAUACAAAUUGAUUCAGAAAUAUCAUUUUACAGAAAAUAUGCUAAACUUUUCAAAAUGGCUUGAAAUUAUUUAAGACCAAGAAAUGCAUUUCUAAGUGUUUCUGUGCUUGAGCAGGUUUGACAGAACAAGCAGCAAAAAUUAAGAAGCAACAGCAUCACACCCUCAGCCACAUGUGCCUGAAACCAGUAAGCAAUGGGAAAGCACUUGCCAGAACAAAUGCUGAAGACCAACCAUUAGUGGGAAAGACAGGGGAUUCUACAAUUCGGCAACUAAUGGUGCAGCUGAAAGUCCUCAAAUGGCCUUGGCACACUCAAGAAAGGGACAUGAACAGCUUCUGAGGCUUUUGCAAUCUCACAAGCACUCUUGUAGAAAUCACUGAGGAUAAGGACGUCGCCCAGUUUCCCCGGAGACCUCCUGAUCACCAUUCUUUGCAGUGAGGACUGAAUUUCCAGAGUUAACUGUUUCAAAUCUGUGAAAAGAAGAAGUAAAGUAAAAUCAUCAAGCAAGUAUACAGAAGACUACUUAUGAACACCAAAUGGACUGAGAGGUUCAGUGAUAAAUCUCUCUUACUUGUACAACACAGCAGAUUGUACUACGAACAUUCUGCUAAUAUAAAAGUAUGGACUUCCUCGUUCACUUGUAAAACAGAAACCCUCAGAGUGAAAAGAAGGUGCAAGUUCUUUCCAAGUGCAGAGCCGGAGAAGGGUGCGCUGACGAAUGAAUGAUGUGAUACUGAUUUGCGUAGCAUAACAUGGUUUACAAACUGCAGUCACAAGCGUCACCUUAUGCGCGAUCUAUCAUUAAUCUCACAU
rnacentral:lncRNA from 1 species